GGCGGGGUGAAGUGGGACAUCGCCCUUUGAAGGCGAGUAUCUUGGUUCGAAUCCAAGUCCCGCAG
rnacentral:tRNA from 1 species